rnacentral:rRNA from 1 species
UACGUAGGGUGCGAGCGUUAAUCGGAAUUACUGGGCGUAAAGCGUGCGCAGGCGGUUCGUUGUGUCGGCGGUGAAAGCCCCGGGCUCAACCUGGGAAUGGACCGUUGAAACUGGCGAACUGGAGUGUGGCAGAGGGGGUGGAAUUCCGCGUGUAGCAGUGAAAUGCGUAGAGAUGCGGAGGAACACCGAUGGCGAAGGCAGCCCCCUGGGCUGACACUGACGCUCAGGCACGAAAGCCAGGGGAGCGAACGGG